AGUGAACGCUGGCGGUAGGCCUAACACAUGCAAGUCGAACGGCAGCACAGUAAGAGCUUGCUCUUACGGGUGGCGAGUGGCGGACGGGUGAGGAAUACAUCGGAAUCUACUUUUUCGUGGGGGAUAACGUAGGGAAACUUACGCUAAUACCGCAUACGACCUACGGGUGAAAGCAGGGGAUCUUCGGACCUUGCGCGAUUGAAUGAGCCGAUGUCGGAUUAGCUAGUUGGCGGGGUAACGGCCCACCAAGGCGACGAUCCGUAGCUGGUCUGAGAGGAUGAUCAGCCACACUGGAACUGAGACACGGUCCAGACUCCUACGGGAGGCAGCAGUGGGGACUAUUGGACAAUGGGCGCAAGCCUGAUCCAGCCAUACCGCGUGGGUGAAGAAGGCCUUCGGGUUGUAAAGCCCUUUUGUUGGGAAAGAAAAGCAGCAGGUUAAUACCCCGCUGUUCUGACGGUACCCAAAGAAUAAGCACCGGCUAACUUCGUG
rnacentral:rRNA from 1 species